CCAUUCUCUGUAUUUAACCCAGCGAACUACAUAUCGGAAACUAAAAUUUAUUGGAGAGAUUCUCAGAACCAUACUAGAAACAUUACCGAGGUCUCAUCUAGUUUUCUCUACUGCCUUCCAAGAGUCUUGCUCUGUUGCCCAGGCUGGAGUGACGUGGCAUGAUCUUGGCUCCACUGCAACAUCCACCUCCCAGGUUCAAGUGAUUCUCCUGCCUCAGCUUCCCAAGUUUCUACUGUACAAUUUCUCAUUGAAAACUGCCUCAGCAUUUUUUAAGAAGACAUCACUUCCCCCUUGGGGAAGAAAGAACUCAAUGACUUGAAGAAACUGAUGCUUCAGGUACCUUGAAAAAUUCAGCUGGUUUUGAUGAGAAACAGUCAAUGGGGCUGUUAGGGGUCCUGGCGGAUGCUUAGGCAGUGGCUGUCCUGGAUUCCAGGGAAUGCCCCAAACCCAGUGAUGCAGGACCCAGGACUCCAUCUGCUCAUUCUUCAUAAGGUUGGCUCACAGGUCAUCUGCUGAGAAGGUCAUCUUCUCCGUCUUCACUGGGCUCACUGAAUGAGGACAUUCCAAGAUCCCAGCUCAUCUCAUUUGAGCUUUCCUUUUCCUAAUCCCAUGCAUCUGUGUUUGAGAAAAUCUUCCCAAGUGAUAGAUCUUCUAUUUUCCGAUUUCUUCCAUGUUGUAUUACUUUUUUUAUUAAUAAUAAUAAAUACACAUAUUUUUGGUGUGUACAUG
rnacentral:lncRNA from 1 species